GACAAACCGAGCGAACGUUGUUCGGAAUCACUGGGCUUAAAGGGCGCGUAGGCGGGCUGCCAAGUCUGGGGUGAAAGCCCCCGGCUCAACCGGGGAAGGGCCUCAGAUACUGGCGGCCUGGAGGGGGGUAGGGGCGUGCGGAACUGUGGGUGGAGCGGUGAAAUGCGUUGAGAUCCACAGGAACUCCGGUGGCGAAGGCGGCACGCUGGACCCCAUCUGACGCUGAGGCGCGAAAGCCAGGGGAGCGAACGGG
rnacentral:rRNA from 1 species